rnacentral:rRNA from 1 species
GACGAACGCUGGCGGCGUGCUUAACACAUGCAAGUCGAACGGAAAGGCCCUGCUUUUGUGGGGUGCUCGAGUGGCGAACGGGUGAGUAACACGUGAGUAACCUGCCCUUGACUUUGGGAUAACUUCAGGAAACUGGGGCUAAUACCGGAUAGGAGCUCCUGCUGCAUGGUGGGGGUUGGAAAGUUUCGGCGGUUGGGGAUGGACUCGCGGCUUAUCAGCUUGUUGGUGGGGUAGUGGCUUACCAAGGCUUUGACGGGUAGCCGGCCUGAGAGGGUGACCGGCCACAUUGGGACUGAGAUACGGCCCAGACUCCUACGGGAGGCAGCAGUGGGGAAUAUUGCACAAUGGGCGGAAGCCUGAUGCAGCAACGCCGCGUGCGGGAUGACGGCCUUCGGGUUGUAAACCGCUUUCGCCUGUGACGAAGCGUGAGUGACGGUAAUGGGUAAAGAAGCACCGGCUAACUACGUGCCAGCAGCCGCGGUGAUACGUAGGGUGCGAGCGUUGUCCGGAUUUAUUGGGCGUAAAGGGCUCGUAGGUGGUUGAUCGCGUCGGAAGUGUAAUCUUGGGGCUUAACCCUGAGCGUGCUUUCGAUACGGGUUGACUUGAGGAAGGUAGGGGAGAAUGGAAUUCCUGGUGGAGCGGUGGAAUGCGCAGAUAUCAGGAGGAACACCAGUGGCGAAGGCGGUUCUCUGGGCCUUUCCUGACGCUGAGGAGCGAAAGCGUGGGGAGCGAACAGGCUUAGAUACCCUGGUAGUCCACGCUGUAAACGGUGGGUACUAGGUGUGGGGCCCAUUCCACGGGUUCCGUGCCGUAGCUAACGCUUUAAGUACCCCGCCUGGGGAGUACGGCCGCAAGGCUAAAACUCAAAGGAAUUGACGGGGCCCCGCACAAGCGGCGGAGCAUGCGGAUUAAUUCGAUGCAACGCGUAGAACCUUACCUGGGUUUGACAUGGAUCGGGAGCGCUCAGAGAUGGGUGUGCCUCUUUUGGGGUCGGUUCACAGGUGGUGCAUGGCUGUCGUCAGCUCGUGUCGUGAGAUGUUGGGUUAAGUCCCGCAACGAGCGCAACCCUUGUUCACUGUUGCCAGCACGUUAUGGUGGGGACUCAGUGGAGACCGCCGGGGUCAACUCGGAGGAAGGUGGGGAUGACGUCAAGUCAUCAUGCCCCUUAUGUCCAGGGCUUCACGCAUGCUACAAUGGCUGGUACAGAGAGUGGCGAGCCUGUGAGGGUGAGCGAAUCUCGGAAAGCCGGUCUCAGUUCGGAUUGGGGUCUGCAACUCGACCUCAUGAAGUCGGAGUCGCUAGUAAUCGCAGAUCAGCAACGCUGCGGUGAAUACGUUCCCGGG